UGAUUCUUGUUACGGGAGAAUAUUUUCCAUCAUUCUCAUUGCCAUAGAGAAUAAGAGAUUCAUGAAGAUCGAAUCUUAACAAAAAAAUUAUAUUUUUUAAUCAAAACUAUGACAUUAAUAUUUCGUUAUUUUUUCCUUUUAAAAAAACAUAUAUUUUUUGCAUCUUUUAAAAAAAACACAUUUUUCAUCAAUAACAAAAGAAAAUGCAAAAAUGUUUGUAUUUAGGAAAACAUAACAAUUAAUUCCCUAAUUGAAUGAAAAAUAGAUUACUAGGUGAAGUAUAAUGAAGAUGAAUACUAAUUACCAAAACCAUAAUGAACAAAAGAGAGAGGUUGUUGUGAUGAUGAUGAGAACAAAAAAGAUGAGAUAUGAAGGAGAAAGAGAAUUG
rnacentral:lncRNA from 1 species